GUGAAUUUGACAACUAGCUUAAAAGAUGGCCGAUAAUAGUAUUGUGUGGAUGCUUAUUUCCAUUAUUUUUCUUUGUAUUUUUUUAUACAAUGAAGUAAAAUUUUUCAGUUAUUUGUUUGGAUAGUAAGAAACUAGAGGAAAUAGGAGAGAAAAAAUAGAAGAAAGGAAGAAGCAAAAGGUAGAACACUGAGAUUCAAGGAAGGAGAUUGUUACUUAAG
rnacentral:misc_RNA from 1 species